GCAAAUUCCAGCCUCUAUUUAUCAGCACUGGGGCUGAAAGCAAAGAGGGGGAAAAAAAAAAAAAAAAGCUUCCUGGGCUUGGUUUGGCAAAGCGGAACAACUCUGGCAGCGGCGACAAAGCAGCACGACGGCAAAUUUUGCAUCUGCGGUGGCCAGAAACCCCGAGGAUCCCACAAUGCGCCCGUUUGUUGUCACAGUGGGUGGCUGGAUUCCCGCAGAAAGGAGCUUUCAGUGGAAACAUUCAAAAGUUCAAACUCUUCUAGCGAUGCAAGGUUGAGCUUGAUUGUGCGGCGGGCACAAAGGGACAGUGUUUCCCCGGGAGCAGGGAGGUUUUGUGGCUGGAAACACGGCUCUUUUCUUCUGCGGACAGAAGCCGCGUGAGCAGAUUCGAGGCGUUAUCGAAGCGGGAUCACGGUCGGAGACUUGGCUUAAAGGGAGAUGACAGAACAGGCACCUACGGGCAAGACGAGCCAAGCAGUCGGCCGAGAGGCCUCCGAGUCACUUGACGUGGGAUAACUCUGCGCCCGAUGGAGCAUGGCCA